rnacentral:rRNA from 1 species
UACGUAGGGGGCAAGCGUUGUCCGGAAUCAUUGGGCGUAAAGCGCGUGUAGGCGGUCCGGUAAGUCCGCUGUGAAAGUCCAGGGCUCAACCCUGGGAUGCCGGUGGAUACUGUCGGGCUAGAGUCCGGAAGAGGCGAGUGGAAUUCCUGGUGUAGCGGUGGAAUGCGCAGAUAUCAGGAGGAACACCAAUAGCGAAGGCAGCUCGCUGGGUCGGUACUGACGCUGAGACGCGAAAGCGUGGGGAGCGAACAGG